rnacentral:rRNA from 1 species
UACGAGAGGCCCAAACGUUAUUCGGAAUUACUGGGCUUAAAGAGUUCGUAGGCGGCGCAGAAAGUAGGGUGUGAAAGCCCUCGGCUUAACCGAGGAAUUGCGCUCUAAACUACUGUGCUUGAGGAAGCUAGAGGUGAGCGGAACUGAUGGUGGAGCGGUGAAAUGCGUUGAUAUCAUCAGGAACACCGGAGGCGAAGGCGGCUCACUGGGGCUUUUCUGACGCUGAGGAACGAAAGCCAGGGUAGCGAACGGGG